AUUGAACGCUGGCGGCAGGCUUAACACAUGCAAGUCGAACGAGUGGCGGACGGGUGAGUAAUGCUUGGGCAUCUAGCUUAUGGAGGGGGAUAACUACGGGAAACUGUAGCUAAUACCGCGUACCAUAGGAUGAGCCCAAGUGGGAUUAGGUAGUUGGUGGGGGAAAGGCUAACCAAGCCGACGGUCUCUAGCUGGUCUGAGAGGAUGACCGACCACACUGGGGCUGAGAAACGGCCCAGACUCCUAGGGGAGGCAUCAGUGGGGAAUAUUGCGCAAUGGGGGCAACCUGACGCAGCCAGGCCGCGUGAAUGAAGAAGGCCUUCGGGUUUUAAAGUUCUUUCGGUAGCGAGGCGUUAACUACAGAAGAAGCACCGGCUAACUCCGUGCCAGCAGCCGCGGUAAUUC
rnacentral:rRNA from 1 species